rnacentral:rRNA from 1 species
UCCUACGGGAGGCAGCAGUCGGGAAUUUUGCGCAAUGGGCGAAAGCCUGACGCAGCAACGCCGCGUGAGGGAUGAAGGCCUUCGGGUUGUAAACCUCUUUUCUCAGGGACGAUGAUGACGGUACCUGAGGAAUAAGCCACGGCUAACUACGUGCCAGCAGCCGCGGUAAUA